rnacentral:tRNA from 1 species
GGGGUUGUGGCUCAGUGGUGGAGUGUUCGCCUGGCAUGCAGGAGGCACUGAGUUCAAUCCUCAGCACCA